AGCAGUCGAGAAUUUUUCUCAAUGGGGGCAACCCUGAAGGAGCGACGCCGCGUGGAGGAUGAAGGCUUUCGGGUUGUAAACUCCUGUCAUUUGGGAACAAAGCCCUGCAAGGGGUGUGAUAGUACCAGAAGAGGAAGAGACGGCUAACUCUGUGCCAGCAGCCGCGGUAAUACAGAGGUCUCAAGCGUUGUUCGGAUUCAUUGGGCGUAAAGGGCGCGUAGGCGGUGGGGUCAGUCGGGUGUGAAAUGUCGGGGCUCAACCCCGAACCGGCACUCGAUACUGCUCGACUGGAGGGCUGGAGAGGAGAUCGGAAUUCACGGUGUAGCAGUGAAAUGCGUAGAGAUCGUGAGGAAGACCGGUGGCGAAGGCGGAUCUCUGGACAGCUUCUGACGCUGAGG
rnacentral:rRNA from 1 species